CAUUUAUCUAAUUUAUCAAAUUUUUGAGGUUUUUUCCUUAUUUUUAGGAUUCAUUCAUACCCGAAAAGCUGCAACAUUCACAGUUCCCUGAGCCGUUUCAAACCGGCACGUUUCAAAGCAAAUACCCCAAACCGUUUCAAACAAGCACGUUUCAAAGCAAUUAUUUCACCGCUUCAAUUGCAAGCACUUAAAGCCAAAAAAAAAAAACAACAAAGCGGAUUCAAUUCCAAUGGUGCUUCAUUAUUUCCAUUACCAUCUUAAUCGGCAACUAUCAAUCCCUAUUUUUCGAUAAAGUAUGUCUCAGGCUCGGGCACACACAGAUGAUUACGAAUCCCUUACUGAUCGACAUGAAUAAUUUUUUCCACUGCCCUAAUCCUAAUCCCCUCUUUCAUAUACAAUUUUCUUGGUUUAUAUACGUAUGAUAAUUGAAACUCAUGAAUUGAAUAUUGUUUGUUACUCUUUUGAAUUGUGCAGUAUUAUGAUUACAUCCACUUCCAGUAUCCAAAAAAAAUAUUCUGGUUUUCUCUUAAAUAUUUCUCAGUUAAUAUAAAGAUAAGGCUAACGAGAGUUAUAAUAGUAUGGUUGAGGAAACAUAAUCAAGAUUGUGGGUUAUUAUAACUAAGUUUGUUUUGCAGAUAUCAUUAGAAUGGUAAAGAUUGUUCUGAUAUUAUUGUUUGACACACUUGUGGUGUUGCUGGAAGAGCAACUGUCACUACCAAUACUUCAAUUAUUAAUGCAGGAGAUGGUCCUAGACAGCAUCCAACUCAGAAACUCAUCAAUAUGGGAAUUUCUUCAGACACCAUUAGAAGAAUUCUAAGACCAUCUGGCCAAGUUGGGAGAAAGUUCCAAGACGUUUCAACGAAGUUCAGUUCAUGAGACCGCAGCGCAGCGGAGUGGAGCAGCCGUGACACGAAGUUCCUUACCUUAGCUGGAUCUCGCUGUUGCCACCUAAACGGUAGGUAGGCGGCGGAUGUGUGACAUUUGGAGUUGUCGUUAUCUCCAACCAAGCCGUUUCUCUUCCUAUAAAAAUUAGAGCUUCCUUGAAGUUAGAUCAAGACAACAUGCCGAACUUCAGAUUUAGACAAAAGAAGAAUCAGUUUACAAUCAAUGAUGUCAUAAUUUGAUUUUGUUAUGGAUUUGAUUGUACUGAUGAAAUUAUCAAAGUGUAAGGAGGAGUCAUCCACUCUUCAAAUAGUCAUCUGUAUACAACAUUUCAUUAGAUUGGUGUACAUCAAUUUACGCUAUGUAAGUGAAGCAAAGGUUUAUGUC